GCCUGGGUGGCUCAGUUGGUUAAGCAUCUGACUUUAGCUCAGAUCAUGAUCUCGUGGUUUGUGAGUUCGAGCCCCGUGUCAGGCU
rnacentral:tRNA from 1 species